CCUACGGGGGGCUGCAGUGGGGAAUAUUGGACAAUGGGGGGAACCCUGAUCCAGCCAUGCCGCGUGUGUGAAGAAGGCCCUCGGGUUGUAAAGCACUUUCAGUGAGGAAGAACGCCUGGUGGUUAAUACCCAUCAGGAAAGACAUCACUCACAGAAGAAGCAACGGCUAACUCCGUGCCAGCAGCCGCGGUAAUACGGAGGGUGCGAGCGUUAAUCGGAAUUACUGGGCGUAAAGCGCGCGUAGGUGGCUUGAUAAGCCGGUUGUGAAAGCCCCGGGCUCAACCUGGGAACGGCAUCCGGAACUGUCAAGCUAGAGUGCAGGAGAGGAAGGUAGAAUUCCCGGUGUAGCGGUGAAAUGCGUAGAGAUCGGGAGGAAUACCAGUGGCGAAGGCGGCCUUCUGGACUGACACUGACACUGAGGUGCGAAAGCGUGGGUAGCAAACAGGAUUAGAUACCCCAGUAGUC
rnacentral:rRNA from 1 species